AUGUAAAUUUCGUGCCGAAGUGCACUUCGGCCCGCGAAUUGAAUGUGAAUGCAGCUUUAGGUGUUGAUUCAAUUAGAGUACCUACCUUGAUAUCUAGAAGACAUAUUUGUCUGGAGUUAGAUAGCGAAAUAAGUGGAGUAAACGGGCAUAAAGUAAAUCAAAUCUAAAAUUUUCAUAUUUUUGGACUGGCCAACAACCGUUUCAGUUAUCAGAGAAUAAGUUGCUGGCCAGCAUAAACAAGGCCUCUCAUUUGUAUAGUUUUUACGGAACAGUCAAAUUCAAGGAACAGCUUCGGCCUGUUCUGUUCUUUAAAAGCUCUUCUGCCGAUGGGAACAGGUUCCGUUCUUCGAAAAGAACAGGUUUGCGAAGCGGUUUGUGCUAACAAGUUCUAAAGAAUCUGUUCUGUUCUUUUCAUAACAUUUGUGUUCUGUGGUUAUGGGACUGACACUUGACGUUUGACUUGGAUUUUGAGAAAAUUUGAAUAUUUUUGCUAAGAGCUAACAUUUUUUAUUGACCGAUUCUUUUCUCUACUUUGACUUGAUGACUUUUAUGUGGUGAUAUGAAUCGAGGAACCAAUUUUUAAUUUUAUCUUGUGGAGUUUCUGGAUGAUAAAAAAAAAAUUGGAUGAAUGGAUUGAGGAUCAGCUACAAUGACACCUUCGACAUAUGGCCAUAUGGGUAAAGAGUACCCUCUUAUGAGAAUUGCAUCAGUAAUUAGAGAGAAGAAAGAAUAACUCCUCUGGUCUGUCGGGUAAAACUAAUCGUAGAUGAUAUUUUGCCCCCCCCUGAGAAAAAUUUUUGCGGGCGCCCAUGAAUUGGACUGGCAAGUUCUCAAAUUGUCACCCUGUAUAAAUAUCUGAAAAAAUUUCGAGUGUGAAUUUUAUUGUCAAUUUCUUUUGUAAAUGUAAUUUCACUCUUUCUUGCAAGUGUAAACUUCAUUUGAGAAUUUUUUUUUGUGUAAACUAUGCUUUCCAUAGAAAAACAAUAAAAAUUCAAAACUUAA